GGUGUCGACCUCAAGAAGGAUCGCUGGUGGGUCGUUUUUCUCGGCCUCUUUCUCUUCACGUCCUGAACUCAGUCUCUUCGGGACUCACUUCCACGCUCUCCUAGUCUCUUUGGCACUCACAUCCACGUGGCGCUUUAGCCAGCCCUUCCUUCCCAGCCCCCUUGCUGCACCUCGAGCCGGCUCUUCCUCCACCUGGGCAGGGCGGCCGGGGCCCCAGAUGCGCUCCAAGCCUUGAUUCCUGUCUGCCUUAUCCUAGUAGGGGUUUUCCCCUCCUCUAACUUUCCACGUUCGUCUGGUUCCAAGUCAAGACUCUCCUGCAGCAACUGUCAAGCCCCUCUCGGUUCCCUGGCACUCUCCUGCGUUGUUUCUUAACUGUAUAAUGCACAGGAUAAACCUUAAACCGAAGGCUGUCUCCUGCGAGGACCAGAAGUUGAGCCAAGGCACAUGGAACUUACAAUAGCAGAUGGUAAGAACCAGAAGGAGAACUCCUGAAGCCUCCGAAGGAAGGAAAUCAUUACAGGGCCCUACAGAAGUAGGUCAUGUGCUACAGCUGCUCAUAGUUUAAGAGGAAGAAACAUGGGAUCUCAAACCUGGAACACGACUCUUUCAAAAUGCUUGUGAGCAACCCAAGAAAAACAUCCUCCUGAGGCUUAUCUAAUAACCAUGAUCUCUAAUCGUCUCAAUGUGUGCUCAUGUUUCCUUAGGAGUUUGCACCCACUUCUCAGAGCUAACGAGAUGCCGAAACAGAACACAGAAAAAAGUAAUGAAGGAGAUUUAAUAGUUUGUGUUAAAGCUAAUAUGGUCCAUUAGGGGCUGUCAUUUUUAUAAACAGUGAGGAUACGUUACCCUCUUCUUUGGUGUAAAGUCAUUCCGUGCAGGACCUGUAAACAUUCAGUAAUGAUCUGUAGAACAUGCAUGAACGACAAUUAAAGCACCACUUGAAAAGUCUGUUUUCCUCACAUAUUUGUUUUCUUGCUAAAUAAACUUGUAAAGU
rnacentral:lncRNA from 1 species